UAGGGAAUCUUCGGCAAUGGGGGGAACCCUGACCGAGCAACGCCGCGUGAGUGAAGAAGGUUUUCGGAUCGUAAAGCUCUGUUGUUAAGGAAGAACGAGUGUGAGAAUGGAAAGUUCAUACUGUGACGGUACUUAACCAGAAAGGGACGGCUAACUACGUGCCAGCAGCCGCGGUAAUACGUAGGUCCCGAGCGUUGUCCGGAUUUAUUGGGCGUAAAGCGAGCGCAGGCGGUUAGAUAAGUCUGAAGUUGAAGGCAGUGGCUCAACCAUUGUAGGCUUUGGAAACUGUUUAACUUGAGUGCAGAAGGGGAGAGUGGAAUUCCAUGUGUAGCGGUGAAAUGCGUAGAUAUAUGGAGGAACACCGGUGGCGAAAGCGGCUCUCUGGUCUGUAACUGACGCUGAGGCUCGAAAGCGUGGGGAGCGAACAGG
rnacentral:rRNA from 1 species